GAGAAGGAGGGGGAGGGAGCGGGGGUGAGACGUAGGGUGCAGGGGUGGUCGUGAAGUGUUGGGCGUAAAGAGCUCGGAGGCGGGCUGUGUCGUCGGCUGUGAAACCCCGGGGCGCAACGCCGGGCCUGCAGCCGAGACGGGCAGACUAGAGUUCGGCAGGGGAGACUGGAAUUCCUGGUGUAGCGGUGAAAUGCGCAGAUAUCAGGAGGAACACCGGUGGCGAAGGCGGGUCUCUGGGCCGAUACUGACGCUGAGGAGCGAAAGCGUGGGGAGCGAACAGGAUUAGAUACCCUGGUAGUC
rnacentral:rRNA from 1 species